GUGUUCACUUUGGCAGCACAUAGACUAAAACGGAACCAACACAGUGAAGGUUAGCAUAGCCCCUGUGCAAGGAUGAUACACAAAUCUAUGAAGCUCUCCAUAAACAA